GACGAACGCUGGCGGCGUGCUUAACACAUGCAAGUCGAGCGGUAAGGCCUCUUCGGGUGUACACGAGCGGCGAACGGGUGAGUAACACGUGGGUGACCUUCCCUCAGCUCUUUGAUAAGCCUGGUAAACUGGGUCUACUACCGCUUAUGACCUUUCCUCGCUUGGGGUUUGGUGGAAAGUUUUUUCGGCUUGGGAUGGUCCCGCGGACGAUCAUCUUGUUGGUGGGGUGAUGGCCUACCAAGGCGACGACGGGUAGCCGGGCUGAUGGGGCGACCGGCAGACCUGGAACGGAGACACGGGCCAGAAAUCUACGGGAAGGAGCAGUGGGGAGUAUUGGGCAAAGCGCGGAAGUGUAGCGGAGCGACGGGGCGUGGGGGAUGACGGUCGGCGGGUAAAAAAACUCUGUCGACACCGACGAAUUUGGACGGUAGGGGAAGAAGAAGCACCGGCCAACUACGUG
rnacentral:rRNA from 1 species